rnacentral:misc_RNA from 1 species
UGCAGCUGAAGACUGCAAUACUGGCACUUGUUCUAGUUGGGCUGUUUAUCAUUGCUUUAUUCUCAGUUGAUUCUGCAUUGUCUUACAUGUUGGCUCUAUUUUUGCGGAGAGCAGCAUGAUUCAAGAAAUAAGAUUUGAUUUUCUGGCAUCAGGCGAAGUCAACUCAUGCUAAUGGUGCUCCAAGUAACUUUUGCUUCUGGCACAAGGCUAUGCCCGAAAAUACAAGAUUGGCCUAACUUGAGCAGCAUGAGACUUGCAGCUUUUUGAGCAUCUGCUGAAUAUAUCACCACAGAGAGGACCAUUAUGAGAGUAUAGGGUUAUAUUACCUCUAGAAGACUAGAACUACUGUUAUAUAUGCUGGAAUGACAAGUGUACGUCUAUGUCUAUUUGCAUUGAUACAGAGGAUGUUGAUUACUCAUUUGUGCACUUCCUUAAA